UACGUAGGUGGCAAGCGUUGUCCGGAAUUAUUGGGCGUAAAGCGCGCGCAGGCGGUCUUUUUAAGUCUGAUGUGAAAGCCCCCCGGCUCAACCGGGGAGGGUCAUUGGAAACUGGGAGACUUGAGUGCAGAAGAGAAGAGUGGAAUUCCACGUGUAGCGGUGAAAUGCGUAGAGAUGUGGAGGAACACCAGUGGCGAAGGCGACUCUUUGGUCUGUAACUGACGCUGAGGCGCGAAAGCGUGGGGAGCAAACAGG
rnacentral:rRNA from 1 species